rnacentral:lncRNA from 1 species
GGCGGGCGCUGCGGGCCGGGCCCAGGUAGGCUCCGCGGGCGGCCCUGGCGGGAGCUCGGCCGGGAGGGGACGCCUGCGCACGCCGGGCCCCGCGGCGCCCCGUCGUUCCCCGGCGCUUGCUUUUUAGCGACCCUCCAACGCCUCGACUCUCCGCGAUGCCGCCGAAGCAAAGUAAAAGAAAACGGAAAACGUCUGGUUUCUGGGCGUUCUCUAACAGCCGGACCGCUCACAUUCUGGAAAACCUCUGUCAACACGCUUCCACCUCCGCAAAGGAAGCCCAUUUGGAAGAAAACUCUAACACAAGUAGACUUCACUUCGUUUUAGUUUGGCAUUUUAGAGAGAAUUUCCGAUUUAUUUUUGGUUUUAAGUCUGAUGUGAGGGAAGGAUAAAGAGAGCAUACUCCCACCUCCUCCGACUUCCAGUGUGCGUCUAAGAACAAUUGGAGAGGUAAUAGAACUGUUAAGCAGAAAACGUUUUUGUGGAGGAAAAAGGAUUGGGAAUGUACCUGUUGUUUUCACCCUAAACCAAAAGCUUGUUUAUUGUUACUGAUUAAAAGACUGUUUUGCAAAGAGCCCUAAGUAUUGCACCCAGAAGAUAUAAUUAAAUGUUAAUGAGCACAUCGAGUAAAUAACAAAAGCAAACCUGUCAUCUGUGGAGAACUGAAGACCUUUCAAAUGAAGGGAGAGCAAGAAAAUUAGGGAAAAUAGUAUCCUACAAAAGGUCUCAGGAAAUAAAGUAGAGAUUCUUGCCCUGGGCAGACAGUGAAUAUAAAAAGAGUUCACUGUCUGAGACUCCAAACAAAUAGAUUAUAAAAUAACAAUAGUCAGCAAAUGGGCUCAAGAAAUCUUUUUGGAGGGGUGGACAUGCUGUGAAACCAGAUUGUGGAGAUGUUUGCACAACUGUGUACAUUUACUAAAAAUUAUCGAACUCUGCACUUAUAAUGGGUGAAUUUUAUGGUACAUAAAUUGUAACUCAAUAAAGCUGUUAAAAUUAAGAAAAUAACACUAACAAGAGUCAUGUUCCAGGAAAUUACAUUUUUAUUACAAG